rnacentral:rRNA from 1 species
AUUGAACGCUGGCGGCAUGCCUUACACAUGCAAGUCGAACGGUAACAGGUCUUCGGACGCUGACGGGUGGCGAACGGGUGAGUAAUACAUCGGAACGUGCCCAGUCGUGGGGGAUAACUACUCGAAAGAGUAGCUAAUACCGCAUACGAUCUGAGGAUGAAAGCGGGGGACCUUCGGGCCUCGCGCGAUUGGAGCGGCCGAUGGCAGAUUAGGUAGUUGGUGGGAUAGUGGCUUACCAAGGCUUUGACGGGUAGCCGGCCUGAGAGGGUGACCGGCCACAUUGGGACUGAGAUACGGCCCAG